UACGUAGGGUGCAAGCGUUAAUCGGAAUUACUGGGCGUAAAGAGUGCGUAGGCGGGCAGAUAAGUCAGUGGUGAAAUCUCUGGGCUUAACCCAGAAACUGCCGUUGAUACUAUUUGUCUUGAAUAUCAUGGAGGUAAGCGGAAUAUGUCAUGUAGCGGUGAAAUGCUUAGAUAUGACAUAGAACACCGAUAGCGAAGGCAGCUUACUACAUGUUAAUUGACGCUGAGGCACGAAAGCGUGGGGAGCAAACAGG
rnacentral:rRNA from 1 species